rfam:Angiostrongylus cantonensis strain Taiwan genome assembly, scaffold: ACAC_contig0000060
AUGGGAAAAAUUGCUCUUAGGUUCCAAAGACGUAUCUUGGUAUGAUGGUCGGUUCAAUGUGUGCGUUGAUGGGAGUGCUAACGAUUGCGUUACCAGUUCCAGUUAUUGUUUCCAAU